UGGACCCACCAGUGACAAUGGGCAUAUAUUAUGGAGAUGUGUCUGGAACUCUGAGGUCCAA
rnacentral:snoRNA from 1 species